AACGAUUAAAAAAAGGCUAAAAAAAUCAACUCCGGGGAGCAAAGGGAAGGAGAUAGGAAUUGUUUGGCCUCCCAUAUUUCCCCUUGCCCAGAAACCCCAAGAGAAGCGAAUCCAGAUCAAAGCAAGCCUAAAAAUCUUUCCAAGAUUAUCAGUUAUGACAGGGGGAUGAAGGGAUAGAUGUUUUUUAGCUGAAAGAUUUCUGUCUGCUGGGCUGAGAUUUGCAUAGAUCUGGUUUAUCUAAAGUGCGCUUUCUUCCAAUAUAAAUUGUUGGAUUCUUUGCAUUGUCUUAGUAGUGGAAGUUGGAAGAGGGGGGUGGAUUGGGAAAAUAGUAAGAUGGGUGAAGCUCUUGCUGGUAGAUACUGGUGCUAUGUCUGUUCAGAGGUAGUCCAUCCAGUCAUGGAAGUGGAGCCUAAGUGCCCCCUUUGUGAUAGUGGAUUUGUGGAAGAGAUGGAUGGCAGAGGGGACAUAGACACUGCUUCUGAUCUUGGAUCUGAUCGGUCCCUCUCUCUAUGGGCUCCGCUCUUGCUUGGAAUGAUGGGACGUCCCUCACGGCGGUCACGAUUCCGAAGGGAAGAGGAAGAUGAUGACUCGGAUCAUGAGCUUGAAGAUUUCCUACGAAGGAGGCGGCGGAACUCCGCCAUACGUCAGCUGCUUCAAAGCCUCCGGGAUGAUAUUAGGUCAGAGUCUGACAACCCCGAGAUUGAAAGGGGGAGGGAGAGGGAAAGGGAAGGAGAAAGAGAAAGGAUGAUUGUCAUCAGUUCUUUUAACCAAGCCAUAAUUCUCCAAGGAACCUUCGAUUCUGACCAAGAUUCCGGCAACACUGGUGUCGGUGCCUCGUUGGGGGACUACUUUGUGGGGCCUGGUUUAGAUCUAUUGUUGCAGCAGUUGGCGGAGAAUGACCCAGACAGAUAUGGCACACCACCAGCUCAGAAAGAGGCAGUGAAUGCUUUGCCUACCGUAAAAAUUGAGGAAAGCAUGAAUUGUUCAGUCUGUUUGGAGGAUGUCACUAUUGGAGCAGAGACUAAGGAGAUGCCCUGCAAACACAGGUUCCAUAGUGGGUGUCUAUUGCCAUGGCUGGAGCUCCAUAGUUCAUGCCCUGUGUGCAGGUUUCAGCUGCCUUCUGAUGAAUCAAAGGUUUCAAAUGGCUCUAGCAAUGGCGAUAAUAGGGUGGAAGGCAGUGGUGAGGAUGGUAGUGAUGGGGAUGGUAGGGGAAAUGGUAAUAGAUUCUGGCUUCCUGUCCCUUGGCCUUUUAAUGGACUGUUCUCGUUGUCAGGGUCUGAGAAUGGUGGCAAUUCUUCCUCAAAUUCACCAUCAUCAUCGGCUUCUGGAAGUGACUCCCAUGCUGAGGAGAACUGAACCUGUUUACUUAACGGCUUGAGAGUAGUGGAGGACAUGCGAGCAGAUUCUGGGUUCCAUCUGAAUUGUUUUUGCAGCUCAAAUUCAUGGCUAAUUGUUGAAAUAUGGAUCAUGACCUCUAAGUCCCAAGGGCUGUCAUCAACACUGAAGAGCUGUUUAUGUCAAUAUCAAAAACAUUUUUCAACAUCUUGAGGAACAAAUGUUCGAAGAAAGUUUAUGAUAAGUUAUCUCCCCAUGGAUCUCAUAUCAAGGUAUGAUGAGUUAUCAUUUAUCAAUUUUUGAUCUUUUAUUUUGCCAAUUUGAUAUUAAUGGAGGACUAAACCUGAGCAUCUGCUAGAGGAUGGUGUGGGCUUGUUAUUCAAAAUUGUGGGCAGGCGAGCAGGGGUGGACUCCCACCUGCACUAUAAUUACGCAGGUCCAGAUGGUUGGGGAUGCAUCGUCUAAGAAUCGAGAACCUCUGGUUACCGCACUGGGGCAAUCCAAAUUCUCUGUCACAACUCAAUUGGCUGCAGAGUAAGGGUGAAUUGCAAGUAUUUCGAGGAUUCAAUGGUGUUGGAAAGGGUUUUCCAAAUAUAUUGGGAGGAUCUGAAUUUGUUUAGGGUAUGGAGGCUGGGUGACUUGGGCAAACAGCUAAACAAAACUUGGUGUGUGAACAGCAGAAGCCUUAUGUUAUAAUGAAAUAACAUUUACCACCUGGAUUACUCUGGCCUCAGAUGCUGAGAAAAAUUAUUGCUGGUUAUUUAUAUAGCACAAAGCAUUGGAUAUGAAUACCUUGUUUCAGGUGAUCGAGGAUUUUCAGUCUAUCUGCAAUAAUUUUGCCACCAGGUGGUACUGCUAGUGCUUGAUUAUGGUUCAGUCAACAUGGAGGAUCCACCUCAGGUUUGAUCUUCGGGAGUUCUCAGUGAAUUCCUUCCAUUUCCUUAAUCAAACACUUGUACAUGGAUGAGAUCUUGCUUCACAGAAGGCAGGCAUUAUGUUGGCUUUCAAGGUGAAAGCAGCCUCCACAUUCUUUUUUUUUGAAUAACACCCUGAAGGAAUAUAGACCUUUAUUAUGUACGUGUCAGCUAAGUGAACUCACAAUUAUAUUAGCAAAAACAGCCACUAUAUUUAAAAUCCCUAUUUUAUGAUUACCAAAAACUUAUUGGAUUGUAGGCAUUUCAAGGUGUU